UACGUAGGGAGCGAGCGUUGUCCGGAUUCAUUGGGCGUAAAGAGCUCGUAGGCGGCUUGGCAAGUCGGGUGUGAAAACUCCAGGCUCAACCUGGAGACGCCACCCGAUACUGCCAUGGCUAGAGUCCGGUAGGGGACCACGGAAUUCCUGGUGUAGCGGUGAAAUGCGCAGAUAUCAGGAGGAACACCGGUGGCGAAGGCGCUGCUCUGGGCCGGUACUGACGCUGAGGAGCGAAAGCGUGGGUAGCAAACAGG
rnacentral:rRNA from 1 species